AGACAUGAGGACAGUGAGAGACUUGGGGACACUGAGACAUUGGGACACUGGGAGACAUGUGGACACUGAGACACUGGGGAACAUGGGGACCCUGAGACAGUGUCCCCAUGUCUCCCAGUGUCCCUGGUGUCUCUGUGUCCCCAUGUCUCCCAGUGUCCCUGGUGUCU